GAAAAACUCACUAAUAUCUGUGCGAUAUCGCUGUUAGGUGUCAAAACACACAUAAUGUGACAAUAGUUUAAUAAGAUUUGGUGUAGGCUUUAGAUGUUUUUAAGCGCGAAAUAAUUCAAUUUGUUUUUGAUUGGCGUUUUAUACUUACAAAAAACUAGUGCUAAUAUAAAAAUCGUGCAGCACUGAACAAUUAAAUUCUUUAUUAGACUUCCUACAUGACCAUAAAGACUUGGCAAGAUGCCUACUAAGGACUGCUGAUGAGAGGGCCCGAGCUAAGAGGUUGUGGGAGGAAAUAACACAGCUGCUCAAUUCUUUGGGCGGCAGCAUUAAAACAAUGCAGCAGUGGCAGAAGGUGUGGACAGACAAAACACUUCACAAAAAAAAUGGAGCAGCUGUGCGAAGGAUGCAUACAGGCACAGGUGGUGGACCAUUAUCCGCUUCCCUGGCACAAUGGGAACUAAGAGUUUUAGAAAUAAUGGGAGAAGGAUUUGGGGGGCCACAAACCACAGCUCGUGUGUCAGCCUUUCCCACAAUUAAUAUUGAGGAAGAAGUGGCUCAGUACGUACUGGAACUGGAUGUCAUGACCCAACCUGAAAUCCCAUUUUCUAAUGAGAGUUGGGAUUUAAUUGGUACAUCAGACCCUCUUGGUGGCAUCUCUCGAUGUGCAUCUAAAAUGGAAAUUUCUACUGAAAAUGCACUUUUUCCUGAGACCUUCGUGGCCAGGCCAAGAUCAGCCUCAACAGCCUGCAUCAUCCCGUAUUAAUCUUGAGUACCUUUAUAAUGAAAAUGUCCAUCUCGGCGUGUAACCAGCCAACGACUAGGGCAAGUAGGAAAAAUAAGCGACCGUUUAAUCCAGUUGGAACAGAAAAAAAUAUACUACUAAGUACUCUCAAUACAAGACUCCGGAAUUGAAAAAGCCAUAAUAGAAUUAAUUAAAUUAAAACAGAAUAGUACAAACAGUUAGCCAUUGAUGUUAUAUUGUUUUUUAAAUAGUGUUUAUUUUGAUUUCUAAUAUUAAGUACACAUUAAAAUGGUUAUAUGUAUUUAGUUUAAUACCUUAUUAGUGGUAGAAUCCGCCACUGGAAUUAAGACUGAUUUUGACUUUUGUUUAUAGAUAUUAUUUACUUACAUAUAUAUUUUGUUACAAAUCUUCACCGCAACUUAGCAUUUAAAUUUGACCUUAGCUGUGAUUUAAAAAAUAUAUUUUAAGUAAGUACCUUAGUUAUAGUUCAUAUGUUGAUUGUUAUUACUUCUUAAAUGUAUAAUUAAUAGAUAUUGUUAUUCUGAACAGACAGAAAGGUGUUUUAUUUGUUUUUAAUAUUAAAGAAUUUUGUAACUUAUAACUUAUCUUUAAAUUUAUUAUAUAAUUGUGAUUUUAAAUAUUAAUUAAAACUCAUUGUGAGAUUUAUUACAUUGUUUUUCAUGAGAAUGAUUAUUGGUUCCUAUAAUAUUACUAUUUACUAGCCUUUGGACCUCCACAUGUUACCAAGUGUAUACUCAAACCUAACCUUAUGUUAAUGUACUUCUGUAAGAAUUAUAUGAUGUGUUAUGUAACCAAGGAUAAACAACAGUUUAUACAAGACCAAAUAAAAAUUCGAUUUUAUUUAAUUAUAAA